AUGAUUUUUCGUUCGCCGGAACCAGAAGUAAAAAUUGUUGUGGAUAGGGAUCCUGUAAAAACAUCUUUGGAGGAAUGGGCCAGACCCGGCCAUUUCUCAAGAACACUAGCUAAGGGCCCUGAUACUACCACUUGGAUCUGGAACCUACAUGCUGAUGCUCACGAUUUCGAUAGUCAUACUGGUGAUUUGGAGGAGAUUUCUCGAAAAGUCUUUAGUGCUCAUUUCAGGGAACUUUCCAUUAUCUUUCUUUGGUUGAGUGGCAUGUACUUUCAUGGCGCCCGUUUUUCCAAUUAUGAAGCAUGUCUAAGUGAUCCUACUCACAUUGGACCCAGUGCUCAGGUAGUUUGGCAUAUAGUAGGGCAAGAAAUAUUGAAUGGUGAUGUAGGCGGGGGUUUCCGAGGGAUCCAAAUAACCUCUGGUUUUUGUCAGCUUUGGCGAGCAUCUGGAAUAACUAGUGAAUUACAACUCUAUUGUACUGCAAUUGGUGCAUUGAUUUUUGCAGCGUUAAUGCUUUUUGCUGGUUGGUUCCAUUAUCACAAAGCCGCUCCCAAAUUGGCCUGGUUCCAAGAUGUAGAAUCCAUGUUGAAUCACCACUUAGCGGGAUUAUUAGGACUUGGGUCUCUUUCUUGGGCGGGGCACCAAAUUCAUGUAUCUUUACCAAUUAACCAAUUUCUUGACGCUGGGGUGGAUCCUAAAGAGAUACCACUUCCUCAUGAAUUUAUCUUGAAUCGGGACCUUUUGGCUCAACUUUAUCCUAGUUUUGCCGAAGGAGCAACCCCUUUUUUCACUUUAAAUUGGUCCAAAUACGCAGAAUUUCUGAGUUUUCACGGAGGACUAGAUCUAGUAACCGGUGGUCUCUGGCUGACCGAUAUUGCGCACCAUCAUUUAGCUAUUGCUAUUCUUUUCCUAAUCGCAGGUCAUAUGUAUAGGACCAAUUGGGGUAUUGGCCAUGGACUUAAAGAUAUUUUGGAGGCUCACAAGGGCCCAUUUACAGGACAAGGCCAUAAUGGUCUUUAUGAAAUCUUAACAACGUCAUGGCAUGCUCAAUUAUCUCUUAACCUAGUUAUGCUAGGCUCUACAACCAUUUUUGUAGCUCAUCAUAUGUAUUCUAUGCCUCCCUAUCCAUACCUAGCUAGUGACUAUGGUACACAACUUUCCUUGUUCACACACCACAUGUGGAUUGGCGGAUUUCUAAUAGUCGGUGCUGUUGCACAUGCAGCAAUUUUUAUGGUAAGAGACUAUGAUCCAACUACUUGAUACAACGAUCUAUUAGAUCGUGUCCUUAGACACCGCGAUGCAAUCAUAUCCCACCUUAACUGGGUAUGUAUAUUUCUAGGUUUUCACAGUUUUGGCUUGUACAUUUAAAAUGAUACCAUGAGUGCUUUAGGCCGUCCACAAGAUAUGUUUUCGGAUACUGCCAUACAAUUACAACCUAUCUUUGUUCAAUGGGUACAAAAUAUCCAUGCUACUGCGCCUGGCGUAACAGCUCCUGGUGCAACAAUAAGUACUAGCUUAACGUGGGGUGGC
rnacentral:rRNA from 1 species